GGUUGUGGCUCAGUGGCAGAGCGCUUUCCUGGCAUGUGUGAGGCUCUGGGUUCGACCCUCAGCACUG
rnacentral:tRNA from 1 species